CGUAAUAACAGAAAAGAUUAGGAUGAUGUAUUUAGAAAAUCUAUAGUUAUAACUAGACAUUUUUUGUAAUAAACUUCAAAACCUUACCACCUAUGAUAAAAUCUCAGUCCUGGAUUUAUUACUCUUUCCACGUUCUCUUCAUCGUUUUUACGCCUCACUUUGUAAUCCUUUCUUUUCUUCAGAUGACGUUCCCCCUUCGCGGCGUGUGUUGCAUCGACGCUGUAGUCUACCUUGGUUCUCCUCAUCGUGGUCUCCAUUGACAAAUACGAUGUCGAGAAGCAUCGUGAUUCUAAUGUCUAUGGCGACGAUGCGUUUACCAGACUCUACGCCUCCGUCGACGCUGACAUCGAGGAAUUGCUUCAGAAAGUAGAAACAACUUCCAAGGAGAAAGGUAAGGCAUCUGCUGUAGCGAUCAAUGCGGAGAUUUGUCGUACUAACGCUCGGUUGCUAGUAGGUUCCCAAGUUCCUAAAGUUUAUUUUCCUUGGUAUACUGUUUGAAUUUAUUCUCUUCUUUUUACAUUUAAACAUGUACAAGAAGUUAAUAGUGUUGAUCUUGCUUUCAUGUAUAGUGUACAAUUAGUGAUGUUGCUUCUGCAAAUAAAGCAGACGUAAGGAACUUGUUCAUGGAAAAAAAGUUUCCAAGCACGUUCUUAUUUAUUUUUUAGGUAUUUGUAUUCAUGAUUGGGUUUUCAUUUAUAUAUAUUGAAUGCCCUUGUUAGUGUUUCAUUUAUGCUCUGUUAUAUAUCAUAUUAAAGUUUAUGCUCCUUGCGACCAAAAUAGUCCCCUUGAAAUUAGUUAUGAUGUGCAUGUCUAUAUUGUUAUCUUUGUAUGUAUAUAUGCUCCUUGCAGGAGGAAAUCGAAUCAGAACUCAGUCCUUCCAUGGAGAAAGGAAGAAAAGGCUUUAUUUCAUUUAUAUUAUCAUUGAUUAUUCUUGAGUUUGGUCAUUGUAUUUUCAACUUUUAAAGUGAAUCAUCUUCAUCAUGAUGUAUUUCCCUUUUGUUUUAUGUACUGCCUUAUGCCUCUAGAACAAAGUAGUUGGCUACUAAUACUGAUAUAUACUAUAUAUUUUGUGGUGGUUAUAUCACUACGUUCUUUCAAGUAUAUCACAGUAGAAAGGCACAUGGACCCUCAGAAUAUACUCUGCUAGGCUAUCGUUUGAUGUGCAAUUUUCUUUCCCUGUUUCAUCCAGCAAAUACCUUUCCCGUGUAAGAAUUUUUCGGUUAAAAUUGGUAAACAAAUUCAAGGUUUACUUUUACUUGGACAUGCUUUAUUAAGGAUUUGAGUGAAAGAAGACUAUAAGAGUUAAGUAAGAAAAAUAUGAUGAUUAGUUUCUGAUUCUGUUUACUUGAGUUUUAGCAGCACGUGGUUCUAAGAGAAAGCCCCAAAGUGUCAAGGAUGAAGAUCACUAUAUAAGUUCAAUACCAAAAAAUUAACAGUAAAAGGCAUCGAGGCUGACCUUGCAGUAAAAGCCAAUGAAGACUUCGCUUCAAAAAGGCAGCAGUUCUCUUUAUUAUGCUAUUGGGGUGAUUUUAUUGUAAACCAUUUCUAAAUCAUUAGUUCAGAAGCCAAAUUAAAACUUUUAGCUGAUUGUGUCUGUGCUUUUGUGUUUAAUUAAAUUUCUAUUAAGAGAUUAAAUUCCAACGUUUACUUCCUGUCUGAAAUAUUUUUUUGUCGAAGUUGAUUAUUGUUUUAGAUCAAUUAUUUAUUUAGUACUUCCUCUGCUCCUUAAUAUAACAAGCAUAUUUUAGAAAAAAUUGAUGGUCCUUUUUCUAAGGAAUUUUAUAGUUUACUUGGAAACAGGAUAUUUCCUGUCCUGGUUUGCACAAUUAAAUAUUAUGAAUGUCUGUUUUUUAUUGACAAUUAACGAGAGGAGGCUUUUUAAAGUUAUUAAUAACAAAGGUAAAUUUGAUACACUGGUAACAUUGUUUUAAAAAUAAAAAAAUUCAACAAAGUCAACUGAGUUAAUUCUUUUUAUUGGUCUGUGUGGUUCUAUUAGAAGUGCCAUGUACCAGAGAGUGUAUUAUCUGUUUCCCCGUUUUGCUUUCCGAUAACUUGAUUUGGGUUAUACAAUUGCUGUAAUUUUCAGGUUUUAUGUGUUUUAGCACAAGUGAAGACUGACAAAGAUUUAGUUGACACAUUGGUGCAACAUGUUGAAAAUGCUGAUCGGCUUUUCCAAGAAAUUCAAGAUUUGCAAAAGCAAGUUGAGGAUUUAGAAGAUAAGCUUGAUUUUCGAGGACGGGGACUGAGAACUGGAGCUUAACACCCUGCAGAGCACGAAGUAAAUAGCUGAAGUUUUUUAACUGAAUUGGAACGUUUAACUGAAGAAAAUAUUCAAGUUGAUCUUGAUGAGAAGGUGUCUUAUUAUCUGAUACAUUGAUUUAGUUGUUGUUAUAGGCUUGGGGCAUUUGCCUUCUUUAUCCCCUUUCUACGCAUGUACACAUACAUUUCCAUGUAUGAAAUGAAUUUUAUUUUAUUUGUUCAA